AGAGUUUGAUCAUGGCUCAGAUUGAACGCUGGCGGCAGGCCUAACACAUGCAAGUCGAACGGUAACAGGAAGAAGCUUGCUUCUUUGCUGACGAGUGGCGGACGGGUGAGUAAUGUCUGGGAAACUGCCUGAUGGAGGGGGAUAACUACUGGAAACGGUAGCUAAUACCGCAUAACGUCGCAAGACCAAAGAGGGGGACCUUCGGGCCUCUUGCCAUCGGAUGUGCCCAGAUGGGAUUAGCUAGUAGGUGGGGUAACGGCUCACCUAGGCGACGAUCCCUAGCUGGUCUGAGAGGAUGACCAGCCACACUGGAGCUGAGACACGGUCCAGACUCCUACGGGAGGCAGCAGUGGGGAAUAUUGCACAAUGGGCGCAAGCCUGAUGCAGCCAUGCCGCGUGUAUGGAGAAGGCCUUCGGGUUGUAAAGUACUUUCAGCGGGGAGGAAGGGAGUAAAGUUAAUACCUUUGCUCAUUGACGUUACCCGCAGAAGAAGCACCGGCUAACUCCGUGCCAGCAGCCGCGGUAAUACGGAGGGUGCAAGCGUUAAUCGGAAUUACUGGGCGUAAAGCGCACGCAGGCGGUUUGUUAAGUCAGAUGUGAAAUCCCCGGGCUCAACCUGGGAACUGCAUCUGAUACUGGCAAGCUUGAGUCUCGUAGAGGGGGGUAGAAUUCCAGGUGUAGCGGUGAAAUGCGUAGAGAUCUGGAGGAAUACCGGUGGCGAAGGCGGCCCCCUGGACGAAGACUGACGCUCAGGUGCGAAAGCGUGGGGAGCAAACAGGAUUAGAUACCCUGGUAGUCCACGCCGUAAACGAUGUCGACUUGGAGGUUGUGCCCUUGAGGCGUGGCUUCCGGAGCUAACGCGUUAAGUCGACCGCCUAGGGAGUACGGCCGCAAGGUUAAAACUCAAAUGAAUUGACGGGGGCCCGCACAAGCGGUGGAGCAUGUGGUUUAAUUCGAUGCAACGCGAAGAACCUUACCUGGUCUUGACAUCCACGGAAGUUUUCAGAGAUGAGAAUGUGCCUUCGGGAACCGUGAGACAGGUGCUGCAUGGCUGUCGUCAGCUCGUGUUGUGAAAUGUUGGGUUAAGUCCCGCAACGAGCGCAACCCUUAUCCUUUGUUGCCAGCGGUCCGGCCGGGAACUCAAAGGAGACUGCCAGUGAUAAACUGGAGGAAGGUGGGGAUGACGUCAAGUCAUCAUGCCCCUUACGACCAGGGCUACACACGUGCUACAAUGGCGCAUACAAAGAGAAGCGACCUCGCGAGAGCAAGCGGACCUCAUAAAGUGCGUCGUAGUCCGGAUUGGAGUCUGCAACUCGACUCCAUGAAGUCGGAAUCGCUAGUAAUCGUGGAUCAGAAUGCCACGGUGAAUACGUUCCCGGGCCUUGUACACACCGCCCGUCACACCAUGGGAGUGGGUUGCAAAAGAAGUAGGUAGCUUAACCUUCGGGAGGGCGCUUACCACUUUGUGAUUCAUGACUGGGGUGAAGUCGGAACAAGGUA
rnacentral:rRNA from 1 species